GACGAAGGAUGCAAGCGUUAUCCGGAUUCAUUGGGUUUAAAGGGUGCGUAGGCGGCCAGAUAAGUCAGUGGUGAAAUCCUGUUGCUUAACAACAGAACUGCCAUUGAUACUGUUUGGCUUGAGUACAGAUGCUGUGGGCGGAAUAUGACAUGUAGUGGUGAAAUACAUAGAGAUGUCAUAGAACACCGAUUGCGAAGGCAGCUCACAAAACUGUAACUGACGCUGAGGCACGAAAGUGCGGGGAUCAAACAGG
rnacentral:rRNA from 1 species